CUCCAGAACAUUGCAGUGUGCAGUUCCUCAGGGCACAAGGCUACAAAACACAUUCUAUCUCUAGCUCUAUAUCCAUAUAGACUGAGAGAUGGCCAAGGGGACCGACAGACAGGAGGACUGACAGACAGAGAGCUUCGUCAAAGGCUUCAUGAUUUCUUUCCUAACUUCUUCUGAUUCGACUUUGAGACAACCCAGCACUCUGGAAUCUUUGCUGCAACUUCUCCAAUUAACUGAUGUUCCUUUCCAUCCUCUUAACAAGGUUUCCACCCAAACAUAUCGGAAUAAGUGGUUGCAGGCAAGCAAAGCAUAUGAUGGUGCCCCUGUGGUUUUCAGAUGGCUCAGCAGAUGUAUUUGGUUCAAGAUUGGAGGGGGAGUGGCAGACAUACAGUUUGGCCAGUGAGGUGAGUGGCUGUGGCAGACUGCAUGAUGGGUCGAAACCCUUCUUCUCAGACUCUUCCAUGAGAUGCUGGAAGUCUUGAAUAGGAAAGCAAGGAAUCAGGAUCUCAGAGGCUAAGUUCUGCGCCUUAUUUACAGGAAUCAUAACCUGUUGUCCUGACUUUUCCCAAAAAGGAGCAUUUACUAAACAACAAUGGCAUUUCUUCGGGCAGGCUAUGAAACAAAGUGAGGCAAAAGGAUACAGAAUGUUACCGCCUUUGGGAUCCCAUGCAAUCUAGUGAAGAUACUGCACAAACUGUGGAGAGUUCAGCGGUUCCUCAGCUGCAGCCCACACCUUUCUCUGCUUCUACUAACUCUUCUUGCCCCUUUUAAUGAGAUGGCCAAAGAGAAACACCCCUUCCUUAAUGCUGCAGAUGCCAAGAACCAGCCCCAUGGCCUGGGACAAACCUCCUGCCCAAACCCCUUGUUUCUGGGUCCUGUCCUCACUGCUGUCAAAUGAUAGCUAAACCCCAGCAUGGAGGCAUGCUGUGUUGCUGUCCUCCCAAGGAACAGCUUUUGCACCCAUGCUCUUCCACCUCAGCUGCCUCUUUACCAAAUUCAACAUGACAUUCCAAAUCAAUAAAAUGUCACUUUUAUU